GUCGGGAAUAUUGCGCAAUGGAGGAAACUCUGACGCAGUGACACCGCGUGCAGGAAGAAGGUUUUCGGAUUGUAAACUGCUUUAGACAGGGAAGAAAGAAAUGACGGUACCUGUAGAAUAAGCUCCGGCUAACUACGUGCCAGCAGCCGCGGUAAUACGUAGGGAGCAAGCGUUAUCCGGAUUUAUUGGGUGUAAAGGGUGCGUAGACGGGUGAACAAGUUAGUAGUGAAAUACCUCGGCUUAACUGAGGAACUGCUACUAAAACUAUACAUCUUGAGUACUGGAGGGGAAAGCGGAAUUCCUAGUGUAGCGGUGAAAUGCGUAGAUAUUAGGAAGAACACCGGUGGCGAAGGCGGCUUUCUGGACAGAAACUGACGUUGAGGCACGAAAGUGUGGGGAGCAAACAGGA
rnacentral:rRNA from 1 species